UCAGAUUUAUGCAAAUUGAAUUUGUGAACCUAGGUUAUUGACUGUAUUUUCUUCGGUGAAUGCUUUAGAUACUGGAGAAACGGUUUCUAUUCGAUGUCAUGCUGAACUUGAUCCUUCAAUCAUAUCGUCAUCUUAGACAGGCUUUGCUGAAUCUUUUGUUCUUGUGUAAAAUGGCGAUAUUUUUUUCAAUGUUAUGGCAGAUUACAGGGUUAUAAGUCAACUUUGUUGACUGUUUGAAGCAAAGAGUAGAUAAAAAAGAAGUGUUUUGCAUAAGCUGGAUAAUAAUCAUGAUAAAAGAUUAUUGCGUUGGUUACUCAAAGAGCAUUUAUAUUUCCAUUCGCUAGACAAUGGGGAAUUGAGUUAUUUGAUGAUCCAACUCCUUAGCCACCUCUUGAUCAGAAUCCAUCCGAGCUUGGAAGAUGUCAGAGCUUAAAACCAUAGCAAUACAACAUGCACAACUGUUAAUUAGUGGGUAUAUGCUGCUUGUAUUGGCAAUUUUCAAAGCAAGCCUUUUCUUUUCCUCUCUCUACUUUCAGCAAAAUGAUAUCCUUAGAUAUGAUCAUCCUUUUGGCCCUUCACACACUGAUUAGGAAUAAAUUCAUUCAGCUUUGUUAAGUUGUAGUUUGUCUUGAAGAGUAUUAUUAUCUUUAACUUGUGCUGAUCAUACAUAUAUAGAAUUAUGCUCUGUUUCGUGUAAUAAGCAUCUCUUGACGUCAAGGACUUGGCAAUUGAAUCAAUUAGCAGAAACUGUCAGAGCGGAUUUGAUUUAUUUGACUGGAGAUUUGUUUUGGUAAGCUCACUUAUUUGGCCCACAUAUUGAUCCCAGCUUCCCUGAUUUGUUUUUUCUGUGUGAAGAGAGCGGUUGCUGAUUAUUUAGAAAUUGGUUGCAUGGAUUUUAAGCAACAGUGAAUUGUGUGUUCCAAAUUAGCCAGAUUAUGUUGGUUAGCAUUGAGUAGGCAUUCCUUGUUACUUGGAGCCGGUUUCAAUGACAGGUUGUUGAACUCAACAUUAAACAUUUUCUGAAUUAUUUCCUAGUUUGAUAUGAUUUGAUCUUAUCGAGAACCAUAUUCUUUGCUAAAUCAUAUUGUGAUUGCAAAAAUUUAUUGUAUCUUGUUCCUAAUGAGUACUUCUACUUGCACGUGAUCGAAGACUGGCAAGAACUGUGAGUAUCUGAUCUGCACGAAGCAGUUUGUUAUCAAAAGUUAGAGAUCUUAAUAUUUUGUUUUAUAUUGUUUUACGUUGUCUUCUAUUAAUAACACUUGUACCAAAAUGGCAAAGGGCAGAACUGCAGGUGUGGGAGAUGGCAGGCAGCAUAGUUAUAAUUGGUUCUAACAUUGAGGUACUGCUUGUCCUCCAUUUUAGGUUACUCAAGCAAGAAUAGGGUCUUCUGUGAAUGAUCUUCGCAAUGCACGAUGAUCUACAAAAUCUAUUAAAUCUUCUGGGUUGGAUACUGUGAAGGUUUUGCCCAUUGGUAUCUUCCAUAUGCGGUCAGUGAUUUCUCAACAUAGCCACAUCAAACCUGCUGGUGUCUUUCAUUAUUGGUCAGAAGUGCGUGGCGAGUGGGACUAGAUGGUCAUUAUCCUCCGAUCUUGGAUAAUAUUUUUGGAAUUUUUGUGGAGAUCUGUGGAUACCUGAUGAGGAAAUGAAAACAUCAAAUCUGUACAACCUUGGAGUUGGCUCAUUGAGACCCAGAGGCCACAGAAGCCGUUUUUACUGAGAUGCAAGUUUGAACUUCAAAUUCUGCUGCUUCAUUCCAGAGGGGAUGUAGGCGGAUUCGGGUAUGUCCUCCUAUUUGUCCAAUCCCAACCGUCGGUCCCUCUAAUCCAAAGGUCAAAAGGGAAGUUCAAUGACCUUGUUAUUUUAUUGAAUGGAAGUCGACUUUUCUAUUAAUUAAGCAAUAAUACCACCAUCAACAACUUUUCUUCCCUA